rnacentral:rRNA from 1 species
GCUCGAGUGGCGAACGGGUGAGUAACACGUGAGUAACCUGCCCUUGACUUUGGGAUAACUUCAGGAAACUGGGGCUAAUACCGGAUAGGAGCUCCUGCUGCAUGGUGGGGGUUGGAAAGUUUCGGCGGUUGGGGAUGGACUCGCGGCUUAUCAGCUUGUUGGUGGGGUAGUGGCUUACCAAGGCUUUGACGGGUAGCCAGCCUGAGAGGGUGACCGGCCACAUUGGGACUGAGAUACGGCCCAG